AAAAAAAGGCCCGUUUUCAUUGGUCAAUCGGUCAGCAGGAUUUCCCUCUUCCAUAUGCCGAUCUCCCGGACACGGUGGCCUCCCGCUGCCGGAGCGCCAUCGCCGCCGCAGCAAGCGGCGCAGGGUACGGUUUCCGCCGUGGCGCCGAAGCGUCGACCCGUCGUGGGUUCCCGUUCUCGGCCCGCGAAGGAGGCGGAGGCCACGGCUCGACUUCCGUCUGCGGACUACUACUCAGAGCUAAAGACCCUGGAGCAUGUAGAGAAAACCAAAAAAUAUCAGGGUAAGCUUGCAGCACAGUUGAAGGCCAAAUAUUUUUCCAACAAGACUUUUGAAAAAGGAUACGUGUUCGAAGAAAUUGUUAUAGGGUCCAAGACCAUCCGGCUAAGCAGGUGGCCGUUUACAAGGUUGUUUGCAGAUCCAGCAAAAUUUUGCCAAGAAAAGAGCUCUACUGUGAAGGACAUGUCUCCAUCUCUGACUGGUGAAGCCAUGUGAAAUGGUUCAGUAACUCAUUUAGCUCAUGACCACCCGACGGAUAAGAACUCAGUAGCUCGUGUCACUAACUUCUAUCUGUUAUCCUUCAAAUCAGUGACUGUAUGUUUUCACUAGGCCCAAGUUAACCUUGUACAGUUUUGAACCAAAGGGAUGUUUCAGCUUUUCACCUGAUACAUGGGUGUCACUCAUAUCCAUGACCUUGGCAUAGUUUCCUAUUCCUUUUCUUCUGAAAUGAUGUAAUUUGUGGGGCGCCAGCACCUUGUCUCCUAAUAUUCUGUUUGCAGUACCAACGUCCUUUAGCGCUCUGGUGCCAAUUAUUGCAAUGCAUCUUGUGGACAACACGAAUGGCAAUCUGGAGGUGCCAUAAUGACGAGCAGCGGAGCAGAUGAAUGAACACACCUGAACUGCAUGAGCUACCUGUUAUCUUCAUGCAUGCAACGGUUUGUCGGAGUGCUAUGCCCUCUUGUACUUUCCAGUUGUUUCGUUUCUUGGUAGUAUAAGGAAAGGUCCAUGGGCAGCACUGUGAGACAUGGCAUGGUGGAUGGUGGGUGCAUCGGUGCUUGUUCCACCGGCCCUGUGAUGUGAGCAUCUCACGCUGGUGUUCAGUUCACACGUACGUGAUGCCGCACUUGCUGCUCAGAUCUGUUUUGCUUUGCUCUGCUGCUCAGUGCUCGUGCACAGGUUCCUCUCUCUCUCUCUCUCCAGCCACACAAUAAUUUUGCACUUGAUAUGUAUGCAAUGCAGUUUCAGAGGCUGUAACAUCGUUUGUGUGAGAAUAAAGGCAUGCCUUGUUCAUGUCUUCCUUAUUAUGAACGGACGAGGGCAGUCUUUCAUUUUCAUUUGAGAUAAAAACUAGGACUCCACUUUUAAUUUAUUAUUAUGUUCAUUUGGCAUUGGAUUGUAUGCCAAAAAGGUCUAGAUAUUUGUGUUGCGGCACAUGCAUGCAUGCAUGCCAAAAAGGUCCCCUGGAAUCCUGUGCGAUAAGCAUCUAAACGAAUAGGAUGAUGUUGGUUCGGUUCAAGAUCUUUGAUGCUACAAUAUUCAUGUACAAAGAUUGUUGUAUGAUUUACAUAUAUAUGCUGAUACUGAUACCGUGUCAUCAAUCA